CAACUGGAGAGUUUGAUCCUGGCUCAGAGCGAACGUUAGCGGCGGGCCUAACACAUGCAAGUCGAACGAGAACGCUCCUUCGGGAGUUAUUAAAGUGGCGCACGGGUGAGGAACGCGUAGGUAAUCCACCCUCUGGCGGGGGACAACAUUCCGAAAGGAAUGCUAAUACCGCGUAAGACCACGCUCACUACGGUGAAAGUGGUUAAAGGUGCCUCAAAGCACCACCAGAGGACGAGCCUGCGUCCCAUCAGCUUGUUGGUAAGGUAAUGGCUUACCAAGGCGAAGACGGGUAGCUGGUCUGAGAGGAUGAUCAGCCACACUGGCACUGGAACACGGGCCAGACUCCUACGGGAGGCAGCAGUGAGGAAUAUUGGGCAAUGGGCGCAAGCCUGACCCAGCCACGCCGCGUGUGUGAUGAAGGCCUUCGGGUCGUAAAGCACUGUGGGGAGAGACGAAACAGCGCAUCAGGAAAUGGGUGCGCCUUGACGGUACCUCCUUAGCAAGCACCGGCUAACUCUGUGCCAGCAGCCGCGGUAAUACAGAGGGUGCAAACGUUGCUCGGAUUUACUGGGCGUAAAGCGCGUGUAGGCGGACUCGCAAGUCGGUUGUGAAAUCCCUGGGCUCAACCUAGGAACUGCAUCCGAAACUGCUUGUCUUGAGUAAUGGAGAGGGUGGCG
rnacentral:rRNA from 1 species